AGCAGCAAGAGCAGGAGGACUCUGUCUCUGCAAGGUGAUUAGCCUGGGAGUAGCUAGGACUGAGCUUGAGGAUGUGUCACUCUGCCUGUAUUUCUGCUCUAAGUGCAUCCCAGCAAGGGCUGAGCUGGAGCCCCAGAUGCUGCUACAACGAGCUGCAAACAUUGAGGGCCCAGCCAGCCACAGGAGAUGCAGCCUUUCAUCUCCGGAGUUACAGGUGACAAGGAAGAACUGCAGCAGGUCAGCGAAGCCUAAAAGAAGGCAGCCCACAUCUGCCAGUUUCUGCUACCAGGACCAGCCCUGAACAUGAGCUAGGUGGGCGCUACAGCCCCCUGCGGCUUCACUUGGGGUGCGCCAGUCCCAUGCAAGCUGCUAUUCACAGGGCAGCUUCAUCUUCCUAGGAGGAAAAGGAAGAAGCCUGCAGCAGACACCCCCGCAGGCAAUCGGAGCAGAAUCCCCUCCAGCAGACUGGACCUUACAAAGCUCAGGGCUGGUCCAAGUUUACAGUAACACUGCGCAAGUGAGCAGUACCGACCUACAAACAGCAAGUGACUAGAAGAGAAAGUUCUGAGUAACUGAAAAGGGAGGAGCAGGGAGGUUGAAUGGAAGCAGGAUUUCUGCAUCAAAUCAAUGGAUUCAACAUGACUUCUCCGCUGAUGGACUUCCCUGCCCAUAUCCCAGGUGCCUGCCAGAGCAGAGGAUCCCUGGACUCAGCAUUCCCAAUACUGCACAGGACUCAGGCAUGAGCGCUGGCUCUGGAAGAGAAACUGAAAGAUUUAAUCAGAGGUAAGGGCAGGCUCUGCUGGCUCCAGACAAAGGAAAUAGCUGAAAACAACCAAAGAGUGAGUGAGCAGGACUGAUGCCUGACGCAUGACAAUGGCUCCGGGAAUCCUUGAAUGCUGCGAUUCAAAGAUGUCCUGAAUGGAAGACUUGUGCUGAGCUGGAAAAGGCAAAACAAGAGGCCUGGUUUUCAAAGGAGCGGAAAGAACCUCAGGAUUCUGCCCCUCGCUCACAUUUGCCUCUCCUGCAAGCAUGCACCAGGAACCACCUGGGCGAAGGGCCGAGGGCUUUGGUCGGCCGUUUGCACAUGCUGUUACCCUACAGUGCACACAGCUGUCGAAGUCGUGUGCUGUGGCUGGGUACAACGCUGCGCAUGCAUUAGGGGGCCAGGUCUAAGCUUCUGUCCUUUGGAAAAGACCUUCUUCAUGGCAGCAAAAGGCAGUAUUUGCACACUGACUCUCCCAUCGCUGUCGUAGCUGGCGGGGAGCCCAACCACAACAGCAUGAGAACGGGGAAGUGAAAGUGAACAGGUACGCAGCAGGAGGUGAAACUGUCCUGUUCAGCUUCACUGCCCGGGGGGACUGAAAUGCAGAGAACAGAAACACCAUCGAUGGAGAACAGGGAGAUUUUAAGAGGAUUUCUGCUUCAAUAAUCUCCGUUGUUAUUAAGAUCAUGGGGGAUGUUA